rnacentral:rRNA from 1 species
UAGAGUGGGGGACAACAGUUGGAAACGACUGCUAAUACCGCAUAAGCCCACGGUACCGCAUGGCACUGAGGGAAAAGGAUUUAUUCGCUUUAGGAUGGACUCGCGUCCAAUUAGCUAGUUGGUGAGGUAACGGCCCACCAAGGCGACGAUUGGUAGCCGGACUGAGAGGUUGAACGGCCACAUUGGGACUGAGACACGGCCCAGACUCCUGCGGGAGGCAGCAGUGGGGGAUAUUGCACAAUGGGGGAAACCCUGAUGCAGCGACGCCGCGUGGAGGAAGAAGGUUUUCGGAUUGUAAACUCCUGUCGUUAGGGACGAUAAUGACGGUACCUAACAAGAAAGCACCGGCUAACUACGUGCCAGCAGCCGCGGUAAAACGUAGGGUGCAAGCGUUGUCCGGAAUUACUGGGUGUAAAGGGAGCGCAGGCGGGAAGACAAGUUGGAAGUGAAAACCAUGGGCUCAACCCAUGAAUUGCUUUCAAAACUGUUUUUCUUGAGUAGUACAGAGGUAGAUGGAAUUCCCGGUGUAGCGGUGGAAUGCGUAGAUAUCGGGAGGAACACCAGUGGCGAAGGCGGUCUACUGGGCACCAACUGACGCUGAGGCUCGAAAGCAUGGGUAGCAAA